rnacentral:rRNA from 1 species
GAUGAACGCUAGCGGGAGGCCUAACACAUGCAAGCCGAGCGGUAUUUGUUCUUCGGAACAGAGAGAGCGGCGCACGGGUGCGGAACACGUGUGCAACCUGCCUUUAUCCGGGGGAUAGCCUUUCGAAAGGAAGAUUAAUACCCCAUAAUAUAUUGAGUGGCAUCAUUUGAUAUUGAAAACUCCGGUGGAUAGAGAUGGGCACGCGCAAGAUUAGAUAGUUGGUGAGGUAACGGCUCACCAAGUCAAUGAUCUUUAGGGGGCCUGAGAGGGUGAUCCCCCACACUGGUACUGAGACCCGGACCAGACUCCUACGGGAGGCAGCAGUGCGGAAUAUUGGACAAUGGGUUAGCGCCUGAUCCAGCCAUCCCGCGUGAAGGACGACGGCCCUAUGGGUUGUAACCUUCUUUUGUAUAGGGAUAAACCUACUCUCGGGAGAGUAGCUGAAGGUACUAUACGAAUAAGCACCGGCUAACUCCGUG